CCUACGGGCGGCAGCAGUGGGGAAUAUUGGACAAUGGGCGAAAGCCUGAUCCAGCCAUGCCGCGUGUGUGAAGAAGGCCUUCGGGUUGUAAAGCACUUUCAGUGGGGAAGAAAGCCUUGGGGCUAAUACCCUCGAGGAAGGACAUCACCCACAGAAGAAGCACCGGCUAACUCCGUGCCAUCAGCCGCGGUAAUACGGAGGGUGCGAGCGUUAAUCGGAAUUACUGGGCGUAAAGCGCGCGUAGGCGGUCUGAUAAGCCGGUUGUGAAAGCCCCGGGCUCAACCUGGGAACGGCAUCCGGAACUGUCAGGCUAGAGUGCAGGAGAGGAAGGUAGAAUUCCCGGUGUAGCGGUGAAAUGCGUAGAGAUCGGGAGGAAUACCAGUGGCGAAGGCGGCCUUCUGGACUGACACUGACGCUGAGGUGCGAAAGCGUGGGUAGCAAACAGGAUUAGAUACCCGUGUAGUC
rnacentral:rRNA from 1 species